rnacentral:rRNA from 1 species
GUGAGCGGCAAAAGCUCAAAUUUGAAAUCUGGUACCUUCGGUGCCCGAGUUGUAAUUUGGAGAGGGCAACUUUGGGGCCGUUCCUUGUCUAUGUUCCUUGGAACAGGACGUCAUAGAGGGUGAGAAUCCCGUGUGGCGAGGAGUGCGGUUCUUUGUAAAGUGCCUUCGAAGAGUCGAGUUGUUUGGGAAUGCAGCUCUAAGUGGGUGGUAAAUUCCAUCUAAAGCUAAAUAUUGGCGAGAGACCGAUAGCGAACAAGUACAGUGAUGGAAAGAUGAAAAGAACUUUGAAAAGAGAGUGAAAAAGUACGUGAAAUUGUUGAAAGGGAAGGGCAUUUGAUCAGACAUGGUGUUUUGUGCCCUCUGCUCCUUGUGGGUAGGGGAAUCUCGCAUUUCACUGGGCCAGCAUCAGUUUUGGUGGCAGGAUAAAUCCAUAGGAAUGUAGCUUGCCUCGGUAAGUAUUAUAGCCUGUGGGAAUACUGCCAGCUGGGACUGAGGACUGCGACGUAAGUCAAGGAUGCUGGCAUAAUGGUUAUAUG